GGAUGUAAGGGUGAUCUGGCUGCGACAUCUCUCACCCCAUUGAUUGCCAGUGUUGAUUAGGCUGAUCUGGCUGGCUAGGUGGGUGUCCCUUCCUCCCUCACUGCUCUAUGUGUGUCCCUCCCGAAGCAGCUUCCAGUGCACUAGGUCUAAGAGGACAAACUUCCCAGAAUAGAGGAGAACCAGUUUCCAGUUGAGUAUAACGAGUAGCUGUGCUCUCCUGCUAGAACCAUCAAUCCCCAGCCACCUUGUGAUGCCUCACAGCCAUCUGUAAUGGGAUCUGACGCCCUCUUCUGGGGUGUCUGAAGACAGCUGCAGUGUGUACUCAUAUACAUAAAAUAAAUAAAUAAAUCUUUUUUUUUUUUUUUUUUAAUU
ensembl:misc_RNA Gm24893 predicted gene, 24893